GAAGUUCCGGAUGACGCAACAGACGUUCCGAUCAGCUGUUUAUCAAAGAAUCUUGGCGUCGUUGCUAUGAUGGUUGCUAUGAGCUCGCGGUUGACAUAUAGGAGUCGCGAGAAGCUGUCAUUUACCUCAGGAACACCUCAGGAACACACAAGCGGACAGCGACAGAGACAGCGACAGCAUUCAAUUUCAAUUACAUUUCUUUAUUACAUUCUAAUCUUCAUUAUCCUAUUUGCCUACUUUGUGAAAAUGGUAUCGUUUGAUAAUAUUUUAUUUUAUCUUGUAGGUAGCAAGGACAAGUACAAACCAGGGACGGAAGAGUCCGCCAAAAGAGCUAUUAGAAAAGCUGCAAAAGCCUACUGUGUCCAAGACUCCCAUCCUCGAAGAGGCACACGCAGGCCACUUUGGGCGAGCGCGCAUGGAGGCCAAGAUCCGGCAGCGCUUUUAUUGGCAGAACAUCAGGGAGGAUGUGGACAACUGGAUUCAGACCUGCAUGCGGUGCCAACGCUUUGAGAGGGUGAAGACGGAGGCCCCGGAGAUGAGGCCCAUCAAGCCAGUUGCUCCCUGGC